GGGAGGGAGGGGGCGGGCGGCGGCGGCGUUGUGCUCUGGCAGCAACUGCAUAUUUGGCGACCAUGUGCAAGGGAAACUGACGAUCACGGCUCAAUCUCGCAUGCCAUAUAUGGAGGAAAGCGGGGAGGCAGCGCGGGGGGGAGGGGGCCGGCUUCGACUCUGCCAACAAGUGCAUACUUUGCAUGGCUGCACGCGGUCGGGCACACCGUAUCUUGAAAGGGAUCUGUAGACAGCUCAUACCUUUGUGCGCGCUGUUUUCUCACCACUCUUGCAUUCAAGCAAUAGACGGCACAAAGGUCACUUCGCUUGCUGCUGCUGCCGCACCUGUUCACACCAGCAUUUUGACAGUGAGUGUCUGCACUCAUCGAAUUUGAUGUGUUCAUGUUUGCUUGCGCGUGCUGACACCAGCCUAGUUAAUACAGUUAGUAAGCGAAUGUUUGCAAGUUUAUACAGCUGAUAAAACUACUAUCCUUACUUUGUAUAGUUGUCUACUAAUUUGCUAUCACAAUUGAUGCUUCGCCUUUUGGCCGAAACAGUGACUAUUUUUAUUCAUGUUUUUGACAGUUUUUUUUUUUUUCAGUGUGAUAGGACAAAAAAAGAAAGCCGUUCGGCUGUGGUGGCUGUAUUUCAAUGGAGGUGAAAUGCAAAAAAGAAUGUCCAUGUACUGUGCGUCAGGUGCUCAUUAAAGAACCCCAGGUGGUCCAAAUUAAUCCGGAGUCCCUCACUACGCCGUGCUUUUGUAAUCAUAUUGUGGUUUUGGUACGUAAAACCCCAGAAUUAAAAAAAAAGGCUGUCUGACUUCCAUGACCGUUACCUGAAAGUUGAUUCAUAAACCAGUGCUGAUACUAAUGCUUGAAAUUUGCUUUGAGCCAUAUUCAGCAGCGACUGUAUACCAAUCUGUCUACAGGUAUCGGCAACAGAGAACUGUUGGCCUGCAGCAAGUGUUGGCAACACAAAUCAGCGACGACGUCAAUGAUGCAAAUAAUUUGUCACAUUAAGAAAUUGAAUGAAGCACAAGUCCUAUUCAGGGUGCAGUAGCCUUUGCCUAACCUGUAUCAAGACACCGACUAUUGAUGUCAUGAAUAUAUUGUUGGCGAAGUGUAGAAACCACUCAGUGCAGAAUUGAAAAGUGAGGCUGUAGGUCAUGCCCAUUUCUGUUACUGUAGUUUUUACACCUUGUUUUUAGCUGCGUGAACUCGCAUUCCUUGAACAUGCACCUACUGGUCCAAAAUACUGUACUUACACUCGAUAGUAAAAUGUCUGAUUGCAAUGCACACUAAGUUUCUCAUAGGUGGAAAUGUAAAAUGCAGUGCCUUUUAUCGUAAUAUGCAGCCUGAUUUUCAUACUUCAAAAAAUAUUAAAUGCAAUGCCCUUGAUUAUUCCCUUACCAGAUUUUAUUGGUAACAGACAGUGGCUGAUUUGUUGUCAGAGGAAUGAUUUGGACCCCACUUAGAGACGGUGUCCAACAAUGACAAACUUCUGGCACUUGCACUAUGGCAAAGCAUACCUUUCAAGAUUGGGAGGUGGGAUUUUGACACAUAUCUUAGAUUUGGUUUCGUUUAUGGUUCUAAAGCACAUCUCGCAUCCUAAUGAAUUUUAGAGUGCAGUUCUUAGGCGGCCGUUUCUACGUAGAGUGUCGGCGUUCCCGGUGUAGCCGAGCGAACAAGCGCAGCGGGGCAUGAAAAAAAGCAGCAAGAGCAAAGAGCGUAAGGAGGAAAGUGGGGUGAGAAAGGUGCAGCGGAUGCAUGAGGCGGAAAGUGAAAGAGGAGGGUAUGGCAAAAGCGUGAGAAGAAAAGCGUCGUGCUGCGCAAGCAUAGUGCCUGCGGUGACAACCGCUACGAGAUGGCGCCAGAGUAGCGCACCGUCAUCUGUGCACUGAUGACUUCUUUAUCUUUCUUCAGUCACUGCUUUUCAUCGGCUAACGAGUGUUAAACAUUAUCCCUCGACGCGCGACACGCCUGCAUGUAUCAAAGUUUCUCGAAUGUUAUAGAUAGUUCUUCAGUUGGCUGUUAUCACCAAAGCUUUUUGUAAUUUGAUUUUAUGUGCGACGCAAAUUGUGUAGUACUUUCUGGAAGCCACGCGGGCACCAGCGAUUACACAGGAACCUUCGAUGAGUCAUGUAUAAAAGCCGACGCGCUCGACUCAUAGAUCAGAUUUUUGACAGUCGCUGACUCUGCUACAUGUAUCUCUCCAAUUGUUUACCUUAAUAUAUUGCGAAAUGAAAACACGGAUAGAGCUGUGCUCUAAUUUUGUAGUAGGAAGUAUCGUAAUUGUCGUCGAUUCUUUUCUGGAGAGAAAUUUUUGUUAGAAUUGAGUAACUUUGUCAAAGCAUGCACUCGGAGCAAGUGACAAUGUGAAGAGCUCAAGCUACUGUAAGGGUCUGCUCUUUUAUUGGUGCUAGCCUCAAGGGGCCUGCUAUGCUUGAAGAUCAAGCUUGCACAUCUCUUCUGUGCUCUACAGUUCAGUCUACCUAUACUGAUAUGCACAACACAGGAAAAUGAUUUUCAUAACCGUUCAUUAUAUAUGGAGUGACUUUAAGAAUGUCUCUUUACAGUUUUGAUUAUACACUUUUAUGUAAAGGCACCACUUUCUUUAGCAAUUUUGUUAGGGUAGUGUCAAACAGUUAACAUUUCAUGAUGGUGCACCCAUCUUACACUUUAGAAGUUGCAUACUCCAGUAACAUAUUUGCAGUUAAUACGUGAGAAAGAAAAUCUCAGUUGCCAAGCAUGUAACAAAGUGUAAGUUUAGAUGAGUAGGUGUUAAACAUGUAAAAUUUAUAUUUACAGGCUCAAUUCGUAGGCAGCUUACGUUUGACCAUUUGACUGUCAUGUUGCACAUUGAAAUCAGUUGCUGUACAUACAUUGUGGGUAGCUAGCACAUUGGAUGGCAUGAAAACUGUGCCCUAUUAUGGAUUAUGCUAAGGUGUGUAAUCACAAUGACUAGCCUAAGUUUACAUGAUAUCUUUAGCAGAUAUGGUACACAUGGUACCUUUGAGUGGUCAUUUCUGAAUGCUGUGACAAGGCUAUGAACAUUGGGAAGUGCAGCACUCAAGUUGUAUUGCAAGAAUUGUGCUCUAUACUCUAUCUCAACAGUUCCUAGCAGCACUGUGGAAUCUGGAAGACUCCUUAGCCAAUACGAAAGCCGAAUCCCCCUCAGUAUGUGUUCAUCUGCACUGCAUCGUCUGCGUACCGUUGUAUUGCCAUCCUGUUGAUACAUGCUUCACAGUUGGUGGACUGAUGCAAUAAAUAUUUUGGCAUUGUAACCACAAGCUGCAUUUACAUAGAUGUGACAGUUGGGCUUCGCUUAAUCUAUACACUUUCUCAGCAGUUCCUUACAGCCUCCUUAGCUAGUAGCAGUGGGGAAUGCCCUUGUAAAUGUUCACCCGCACCGCAUCGUCUUUUUAGGGUCUGUUAGGCAUUUGCUCGCCAUUGCCAUCACAUACCAUAGCAAAGCUGAGUAGUAAUAUUAUGAUGCAGUGAACAAUUUGGGCCUUCAUAGCAUUCCACAAUUGGACUACUUUUAUGACUCAGCGCUGCCUUUGUAGUCCUGGCAGCGUCAAAACAAACAGCUGAUCUCAAUAGUAAUGACAAAACUAAUACUUCGCCUUCAGCAUGAAAUGAGACUAAGUGGUGACUGAUUUUACAAUUACUAUCUUGCUGUCAAAGUGGAAAGCCAGUAACAAGCGUGGAUUCGGAUCGAAGCGGGUGGUCACUGGCUGUAUGGGCACUGCCAUGUUGCUAUGUAAUCAUGGUUAGGAUGGCUAUUACGGUUACUAGCAAUAAUCACCGAAGCAAUUUGUGGUGUAUGAUGUGCUUGCACAAAAGGCAUAACAUGUCGCAUACCUCUAAAGUAUCGCAUACUAAGCAAAAAUAGAACUCUUAAUUUUGCUAUUGCGUGGGGCAAGGAUAUUGCCUGUGUACACUUUGUACCUUCGGCAGUGCUGCAAGUUACUUGUGAGAUGGAGUAGGGUAAUUACCACUAGGUUUCAUUAUAGCUGUUCGUACAGGCUCGUUUUCUCAAUAAAGCUCAGUUACUCUCAUACUCAACCACUGUAAUGGCUCUGUAAUGGCUAAUUGAAGAUGCCAACAGGCCCCGCCUGCUGUGCCACUUGAAAAGGAAAGUACUAGUUGCAUAUUUCUGUUUCACUGAUGGUUAACUGUUGCGGCAAUAAUUUGCGCUGCACUACAGUAGCAAUACAUCCUUGCUUCUUGGCACUUUAAAGCACAUGUCCAACAGUUCACAGGCAGCUUGCUGAACUCUUGCCUGCAGCCUGACUGGCCCUCCUGAAGUGUUUGCCUUCUCCAUUAAUUUGCAUUGGCCUCAGUAAGUGGCUACUGCUCUACUGAACAUUUGACAACUGUGCAUGCACUGUAGGGAACUGCAUGUAAUGUAUGGGGCCCAAUGCAAGUUUGAGAGCUCCGCCUUCUUUAAGGAGUGUUUUCUUCUUUAGUAUUUAUGGUCAUGCUGCAUACGUCAAAUAAUAUAGCAAUUUGUUCGUGAACUUAGAAUCUGCAGGUCAUUAGCAUGUGGUUAGUUUUGCAGCUAAGUUGUGAUCUUCCACCUGAAAAAUGUCCUGAAGAAAGCUGAAGCUUUCGUAAAGCUAUCAUAGGUACAGCUGGUAAAUAUGUUAUUGUUGAGGAUGACCUGUUAUACUACCUUGUUAGUUGUGCUAUCGUACAGAAACAACUAUAGAUUAACUGUGGCAAUAUUCUUUUAGUCGGAAAGCAUUCAGAUGGGCUCUGUUGCAUACUGCUACUUGCAUCAUGCAGGCUCUGGUUGAUGCAGAUUUUUGACCUGAUGAGUCUCACUGCAGCACAAGAUCAUUCACUGUGUUAUGUAGAUGUGUUCAUUUUAGUUGCCUUACAAUUGUAUGCUAAACUGUGGUUUGCUAAGUAGGUCCUGUGUGAUAUCUUUCUUUACUUUUAUACCUUGUACCUGUACUCUUGAAUUUUUUUUCUAGUUUCACUUGAGUCAACUGAGUGUAUUGUCUGUGAACAUUGCCAACUUUUCAGAAGUGACACUAUGGCCAUGUUUUUUGUUUGUGAUAAAUUUCAUGGGCUUUCUUCGAAAGAAAGCACAGCUUUUCUUUGUUAUGCUUUUCUCUGUAACAUGAAAUGCCACUAGCCAAUAAGAAUUGCUGCAUAGUGUAACAUGGCAGGUUUUUGUCAUGUUUUUGUAGCCUUGCUUUCCUCUAAAUGGCAUUUUUUUUACUUAAGUGCAAAAGCAUUUUUUUAUUCUUUAGCCUUUUAUCUCUCUUCCUUUCAGUCCUACCUACCUUUUAUGUUCUUCCGAGUGCGUAGUUUUAUUGUCAUAUUGUGUUUCCAUCUUGACACUAUCAUGUCAAGGAUCCCAUAUGGAUUAUAAAAAAGUGAAAUGCUGGCUGACAGCACUGGCAAAAUUUGCUGUGCCAUAGUGCACCAGAACCAUGGUGUAACAAACCUUGAUUUGAUGAACAUCACAUUGUAGCAAACAUUCUUUGUUCUAUUUUGCACAAGUAUGAGACAACAUAGCAUUUCCUAUAGUUGAGAAGGUAAUUAAGCAGUGCAUUUUGUCAACUUUUGUGCCUUGGGUGCUAAACAGAUGUUGCCAACUAACAGCAUUUGGUGCAAGAAGUUGUCUGGGAAUUGCAAAAUGCUCGUGGCAACCUCCGAGUGUAACAUGAAAGUUAGAUUGCAGAUGCACUUGCAUGUAACCGUGGAAUUGUCGCAUAAUGCAUUACUCACCACUGCACAAUGGGAUGGCAUAUGUACCUAAGUAGCAUAGCUGUUGCCAGAAAUUGUGGCUGAAAUGCUCAUUUGUUAUUUUCAUGCACAAUAUUCAAGUCGCCAUGAAUGUUAGUCGCCGAAAAGCUUUAUUUCUGUUCUUACAUAGAGAUCUAUGUGAAAGGGGAAUUCAGUCCAACAAAGCUUUCCACUAGAAAGACAAUUUCAUUGCUGGUGCCCAACAUCUGAAUUUGUGCUUUUCCACUUUACCUUGAGCUGUAUUUCUCGAUGACUCCCAUAUGUCAUAGGUGCUCUAUGUAAUUGCUUGGUGCACCCUUUGAAUAUUAAGUGGUUUGUGUACGCUGCAGUUAAUGCAGAACUCCUUCAAAGAACUAAUCUCACUUUUUUUUGUAACAGUAAUGCAGAAAACUGUAGUAAUAGUAGUGCCUAAAUACUGCCACUUUUGUCUCCAAUCAUGUAUACCCAGCAGUGUUCAGCACUUCCUGUACAGUUUGCCAUGCAACAUCACUUUUGUGCCUAACCCUUUACCAAACAUGGAGGGCAUGGACUCCUGUUUAUGCAUUCACUAUUACUGCUAAACUUAUUUCUGGCUCAAUUCAUCUGCAAGAUGUUUUCCUGGUGUAUCAUUCAUGUGUAAUUUGUAGCAACCAUGCUUCUCUGCGCAAGUGGAAGUUUGCACAUAUAAGAUACACGGCAGUGUGCGGCAGAAGUACUUGGGUCGCAUGCAUUGCUUCGACAAUUUAACAGCCAAUCUCUCGUGCAGCUGGGCCAAUCUGUUAAGUAAAAUGCUGCUCUGCAGUCUAGUGUAGCUUGCUAAGACUGCUUUCCCUGUGCCUCUGUCAUAUGUUGUUGGAAAGUGCAUGGCUACCUGUUAACUUGAAGACGCCAUUUAACGCACUGAAAAUACUUUUCAACCGCAUUCUGCAGCCUGUGUUGUUUGGCUGUUAUAAGCCUGAUGUAUGAACAAACUGUCUCGUCUUGCACUAGCCCCAUUUUAGUAGUAUGCUGUGGGCAGUAUUUCCUUAGUUGCACGACUUUUUGAAUCUCAGCUUGCAAGAGGUUUCGCCCCAUUUUCAAUGCCUCGACCUUCGACUGGGUCGGAGUUAUUGACCAGCGAAUUGUGACCUGUACUUGCAUUGUUCAAGAAGCUGUACGUUGAAAUUGCAAGCACUGUUUAAGCGAUGGAGUUUUCACAUACAGUGUAGACUGCUUUUAGCAUAUGCCAUAGAAGUCACGAAAAACAAUGCUAUUAAGAGAGCCGCAGUGCAAAUAGAUAAUCUAUUUUUAUAAUCAGUGUACAAGCCAGAUGGACAACUUCUUUUGUUACAUUGUGCAUUAAUUGUAGAAUCUAACGUGGCUUUGCAGUAGACCCUCUUUCCUAAAACUAAUUACUAUAGGGGCAGUGCGGUGGUCUUAUUUGGUUUCAUGAUUCAUAAGUGCAACACACACUGAACAUGUGAGUGGUGUGGCGAGCAAUCUUGCUUUGCUGCCACUAUUUUGGCUAAAAAAAGCUGCACUGUGUCCGGUAUUGCACCUUAAGCGGUUAUUUUACAAGUAGUCUGCACUGUAGGCCUGUGUUAAUAUUCUUGUAAUGUGCAGCGGCAGAGCUGUUGUAUAUCAGAAUUUUAUGACUUGGCAAAUGCAAGAGCUUCAAACGUAUUUACUGCCUGUUUCUCGAGGCUUUGCGUGUAACCUCCAUGCUCUUGUAAUCCCUUUUUGGCAUACACAAUAAAGCCAAAUACUUGUCUCGUGGAUAA
rnacentral:lncRNA from 1 species